CUUCAGAUCCCACCAAAACUCGACCUGCCCUCGCCGCGCGGCUGGACAGCCCGGCUGGUCGGUGAGCAUCCGUACCCUCAGUAGGUCGGGUGGAGCGCAGUGGGGGCAGAGGGGCUCGCCCCGGGCAGAGUAGAGUGCAGACCCCCAGCAAGAAGCUUUAGAGAGUGCCCACAUCAGCAAACAGCUCACCAGAUGCCUGACUUGUUGCCAGAGCCGGGCUGGGUGUUUCAGGAGAGCCCAGCACCCUUGGAGCUCCCCGGGGGAGCUGUCACACCCCACCAGAAGGCCGGGCUGGGCAGCUUUGCUCUGGGAACUGUAACUGUGUCAGCAGCACCUCUCCUUGCUACCCAAAUGGCAGCUGAACCUUUCUAACAGUCUGACCCAGUUACCUUUUGAAACAGAAGGUGAUAAAGGGUGCAGUUUGUUCAGCACACUGAGCUCCAGCUCUAGGGUGGCCCAAGCAGCGUCUGGAGCAAUUUCUUUCACUGUUUUCAUAAAAAUAUUUUAAUGUACCCGAUUUAAAAGCAAAUAAAUUGUCUUCACCACAAGCUGCAGUCCUCCUUCUGGCCAUUUUCACAUUUAUCUAUAUAUUGUGUGGCUCAGAAAUCCACCCAGAUCCUAGAACAGCAUUAAUCUUCUAAGACUGAUGCUGAGAUGGACAGAAUACCUGCCAGCAUUAUUCCUCUCUGCAGGGAUCAGGCUUUGAACCUGCUCAAAACAACCCUUUAGACAGCUCAGCCUUCUGCAGUUAUGUUGAUGGGAACAUUAAAAUCUCUGUCAAAGGAUGAUGAUGCAGUCCUGCAGAUUUCAGCUGAUUGGGUUUGUGUUGAGUGUGUUGGGUUUUUAACAGAUUAUGAAGCAAGAAACCCGAGUUUAAAACUUGUUUAAAAGAUAAGUAAGCUCACUUCUCCUUCCACCUAUGUCUUCCUUCAGGCUUUGUUGCUGCUUUCUGAUAAAAGCUGCAGAAAGAGGAGUUGUGUGUGUGUCCAGGUGCAGUGUCUAAGUGUGUGCUCGUGGCAUCUCCUGUUUCUGUGGUGCGUUUGGGUGCUGCAGACAGGCCUGUCCCACCUCAAACCCCAACUGACGGUUCUGCCUGACCCCAAGAUUUUCUCUGUGGCACUAAGUGGGCCAGACUGGGCCUUUGAACUUUGAACUCAGAGCUGUGGAGUUCUGGGGAAAACUGGGACAAAUCAGGUGGGGCAAAGGGCGAACCGCAAAUUAACCUCUGCCCAUUCUGCACAGUGUCCUCUGCACGAGAGCUCGUUCUGUCCGUCCUGGGUCUGUCACCGCUGCCAUCCUCAUACACAGUGAACACAAACAUGCAUGUUGUGCUUUAGCCCCCCUACCUGUAGUUCAGCCAGGCUGAACCAGGUUAGUAUUUGGAUAGGAGACCUUCCAGGAGAGUUUACUUGCAGUAGGAAGCACAGUUCACUUACUGAGUCAUGUUUUUCUAUUACCGGAGUCUUGAGCCUUCUGGUCCUGGGGAUGAUGAGCUGUCGAAAUUCCAGCAAUAAAGCAAGUUCUUGAGCAUUUUUGGUCAUGAUGGAACUUUUGGCAGCUUGCUGCAGAGUAGGAGAGUAUCCUGGCCAAAUUCCACCCGGGGUGAUUACAUUCAGCUGACUGAAAAUGAGCAGUGGCAGUUGCUGUGUUUCACUGCUGGGCAGAGUGAUUUCCACACAGGGGUUUAAAUUUGUAAAGUGACUUCAGGUAAAGCAGAAAGGACAAGACUUAAAGAAGUGUCCCUUUAACCCUCAGAGCUGAUUCCUGAAGGCCUUGUGAGGCUUCUCAUCCUGCUGUCACAUUUCUUUAAAUGCCAGUGGUCCAGCUGCUGGGGCAUUGCUUGGAAUGGCUGCCCCACGUCACAGGAUGGUCUUCAGAACAGUGGUGCUUUGUAGAGUGCACAUUCACAUCCCCACACAUCAAGCAAGGAAACAAAACAGAAUGGGAGAAAAAAGAAACCAUAAAAGAACAUUCAAAGUUUUCUUUGUUAGGAAUGAAAAUACUGUGACAGUGCUGUUCAGGCUGAUCCGUGGUUGGUGUUUUGUUCUCAAGAAAGCUGAGUGCUCCUUUGAUUCCAAAAAGUAGAGAAACACUGAUGUGAGAUAUGGAAAGCAACAUGGACUUGUAUUUCCUGUUAUAUAUGUAACCCAAUGUAUAACAAUUUUUUUUUUUCUCUCCCUGACUUUCCCUCCUUUAUUUUGUACCCAGAUUUUCUUGCUCCUGGCUGAAAUAUGCCUUAUAACCUUACAAGUUUUCAGAAGACCACUGUGUUUCACGGGGAUAAAGAAUAUUGCAUCUGCUUCAUAGCAGGAGGAUGUUGUAUGUGUUACAGCUUAACUUUGUUCUACUUUAAACCUAGAUAAAGGAUGAAGACUGUACCAUUUUGAUUACCUCCUCUAGGGCUCAAAGAGAACCAUUUCCCCUGCCCUCCAUUUGCUAAUGGCUCAGCUUGACCUCACUGGCACACAGAUAAACGUGCUGCUAAACAAAAAAUCCAGUAGCAGGAACCACCUCAAUGCCCAAAGCUCCUCUGCCCCUGCUGGUGUUGGAGGCUCUCUGUGACCAGCUAAAAGCCGAAUGACAAGAGUCUCCAGAGCUGCUCCUGUGAAGUCUGUGUGUGACUGGACAGUGCUGCCACCCCUGUGAGAGAUGAGACCAAGACCCUGCACGGUGAUGGCUCUGCGAGCUCCAGCUGCGAGAGUCGUGCACACCGAGCUCCAUGCUUUGUCUCCAGAGUGAUCUUCAUCCUUAAGCUCAUCCCACUUCUUGUCACAAGAUUUGCUUUUGGAAUUUAGACCACCACUAUUUCGCCCCCCCACACCCCCCCCGUUUUGCACAAAGACUGUUAAUAGGACUGUUAGUGGAAUGAGCAAAGCCAGUAUUCACAGGGUCUAACUCCGUACCAAUAGCACCUUUUGCCCCAGAAUGCCUUACAAAUGCCACACAGCACCCGUGCCCCGGUGUACAACUUGGCCUGACAUUUCUCUUGGCUUAGGCACCACCUCAGCCUCCCCAGCUGACUUUUAGGGACGUUUCAGGCCGUAGCAUCUCCUCCAGCGAGCCAGGCACCAGCUGCGUGUCAGGUCCGGGAGCUCUCCCCGUGGAUGUGCUCGGAGCUGACGAGGCCAUGCGCGCAUCCCGCGGGCUGAGGCCGUCCCGCUGAGCUCCUGCAGUGCCCGAGGGAUGGCAGAAGGGGGGGAGGCCGGCGCUCCUCCCGUCCGGCUCUGGGUGCGGCGCGUGGGGGUUUACUGCGAUGAGCACCGCAAAACCUGGCUCGUGGCUGCGGAAGAGGAGGAAGGUAUGCUGAGGGCUCGGAUCCAAAGAGUUCAGGUUCCCCUGGGUGAGGCGCUGCGACCCAGCCAGCUCCCCCCAUCCCGGCUGCCUCACAUGUGGCAGCUGUCCCAGGGUGAGCAGUACAGGGAUAGUAACUCUCGCGUUUGGGAGAUAGAGCACCAUCUCAUGCUUGGUGGUGUUGAAGAACUGCUGCUUAAACUCGUGCCUGGGGAUUAAUCUGGAGCAGUGGCUCUAGGAAGAUGCCAUUGUCUGUUUUGUACAAUAAAAGAUUCUCUCUCCACUGAAAUGCAGCCACCUCUGAGGUGGAAGCAGUUAAACAACACACAGCAACAUCACACAAGAGUUUAGGACAGGCAGUGAAGAGGAGUAUUGUGACCAAGUGAAACGUCAGGGGGAGUUCUAGUUCUCUGAACAUGUCCAAGAAGGAUCCGUGCCAGAAACAAGCCUGUGAAAUACAGAAAUGCUUGCAAGCGAACAACUACCUGGAGUCCAAGUGUGAAACUGUGCUUCAGGAGAUGCGGAAGUGCUGCGCCCGGUACAGCCAGGGCAGAUCCGUCUGUUGUUCAGGGUUUGAGAGAGAAGAAAGGGAGAGACAGAAGUUUAAGGUGACUUCAGAAGGAAUUCCCCCACCACCUCAGUAACACAAUGCAGCUCCAGCGGGUGCUGGAGCAUGGACUCACCUGCAGAGCUCGUCUGUGUUUUUUCAAGCCUUCUUUAGACUUUCAGGAGAGCCAGACUGCUCCUAGAACACACCGUUCGGCACACCAAAAAGUAUAACAGUACCAACAGAUGGCCUGGUUAACAAACUGUACCUUCUAUACGAAAACAUCAUCUAUGUUGCCUCUGCAUCACACCUGUGAAAAGUCAACUCAGUGUUUUUAGAAUGCUUACCUUACUCUGAUCCAUCCUUGCUCUUAAAAUGGAGAAUUGGAACCAAGUUAUUCUGGCUCCUGGAGCGAGAGGUACAGGAAAUGAGCUCAGAAGAGUGAGUUUAAAUGUGACACAUGAAACAAGCCCAUCUUCACACAACAAAGGUAUUGCUGCCAUCAUGCAGUAGUUCCAGACAACGUUUGCCUGUCCAGUGGUUUAAGCUCAAGAGUGGGAAUCAGGUCUGAUGAUUGUUCCUAAGUCUUGCAUAGAUCAUGAGUGACUACAAGUCACUUUGCCUAAGUGCCUCCCUUUGCCACUGGGCAGACCUGUUUAUUUUAUAUUUGAAUUGCCUACACGCUGCUAUUUGCAUGACAAAGAUGUUACAGGAACAUUAUUUCAGGGAUUGCUACAGGGAUAGGAUAUUUUUUUAAAAAAGCAAUAUUCAUUUGAAAGAUCUGACUGUUGAUACAAAAUUUAUAAAUUAUGUCUAAUUGAACACCUUUUAAGCAAUAUGUUAUGAACCCAGUCUAGUUCAACCUGCUGAAACCCAAAGGCCUGUCACAGAGCCCUGGGCUAGAUCCAAGAACUGACUUAGGCGCUGCUUACUGAACAAGCAGUUGUAGGCACUGGUUUUCCACACAGCAUUCCAGACUCACCCACAAUCCGGCUGUGUCUGGACCCCAGGAGAGAUGGCUUUUCCAGAAGCUCUCACCCAUGCAGCAGAAUUUCCUGUGACCUGUAGGAAGAGCUCAGUAGACAGGUUCCUGCACCGCCCUUCAGAGCUGUCUCGCUGUCCCCUGUAGCAGGAGUCCAGGCACCUCAAUAUCAGGCUCCACACCCACUAGGCCCUAACUCUGUCAUUAGAUCUAGCCGUCAAGGACUUUGUGCUGUGAGCAAGUACAACUUACUUAUGAAAUACAGCUUCUAUAAACAGACCACUGAGGUCUAGGCACAAUAGUGUGUAUUGAAGCCUAGAAGAGCAAACCAUCUGUAUUCACUGACUCUGAAAUACCAUGAUACAAAAUAAACGACUGGAACAAA